rnacentral:rRNA from 1 species
UGAAGCGGCAACAGCUCAAAUUUGAAAUCUGGCUCUUUCAGGGUCCGAGUUGUAAUUUGCAGAGGGCGCUUUGGCGUUGGCAGCGGUCCAAGUUCUUUGGAACAGGACGUCACAGAGGGUGAGAAUCCCGUACGUGGUCGCUAGCCUUCGCCGUGUAAAGCCCCUUCGACGAGUCGAGUUGUUUGGGAAUGCAGCUCUAAAUGGGAGGUAAAUUUCUUCUAAAGCUAAAUACUGGCCAGAGACCGAUAGCGCACAAGUAGAGUGAUCGAAAGAUGAAAAGCACUUUGGAAAGAGAGUCAAACAGCACGUGAAAUUGUUGAAAGGGAAGCGCUUGCAGCCAGACUUGCUUGUAGUUGCUUACCUAGACUUUUGUCUGGGGCACUCUUCUGCAAGCAGGCCAGCAUCAGUUUGGGCGGUUGGAUAAAGGUCUCUGUCAUGUACCUCUCUUCGGGGAGGCCUUAUAGGGGAGACGACAUGCAACCAGCCUGGACUGAGGUCCGCGCAUCUGCUAGGAUGCUGGCGUAAUGGCUGUAAGCGGCCCGUCUUGAAACACGGACCAAGGAGUCUAACAUCUAUGCGAGUGUUUGGGUGUCAAGCCCAGACGCGUAAUGAAAGUGAACGGAGGUGGGAACCUUUUAGGUGCACCAUCGACCGAUCCUGAUGUCUUCGGAUGGAUUUGAGUAAGAGCAUGGCUGUUGGGACCCGAAAGAUGGUGAACUAUGCUUGAAUAGGGUGAAGCCAGAGGAAACUCUGGUGGAGGCUCGCAGCGGUUCUGACGUGCAAAUC